rfam:Myotis brandtii contig303820, whole genome shotgun sequence.
GGCCAAAUAGCUCAGUUGGUUAGAGCAUUGUCUCAAUAUGCCAAGGUUGUGGGUUCGAUCCCCAGUCAGGUCA